AUUGAACGCUGGCGGCAGGCCUAACACAUGCAAGUCGAACGAGUGGCGGACGGGUGAGUAAUGUCUGGGAAACUGCCCGAUGGAGGGGGAUAACUACUGGAAACGGUAGCUAAUACCGCAUACCAUCGGAUGUGCCCAGAUGGGAUUAGCUAGUAGGUGGGGUAACGGCUCACCUAGGCGACGAUCCCUAGCUGGUCUGAGAGGAUGACCAGCCACACUGAAACUGGAACACGGUCCAGACCCCUACGUGGGGCAGCAGUGGGAAAUAUUGCACAAUGGGCGCAAGCCUGAUGCAGCCAGGCCGGGUGUAUGAAGAAGGCCUUCGGGUUGUAAAGUACUUUCAGCGGGGAGACGUUACUCGCAGAAGAAGCCCCGGCUAACUCCGUGCCAGCAGCCGCGUAAUUC
rnacentral:rRNA from 1 species